UCUCUUGGAAAGGUGCGAUGCUACUUCAAAUGUCGUUCCCCAGUGCCACAAAAUGCUGUGGCUGCUCCACAGGAAUAGAGGUCCUGCAGAGGAAGCAAAGUCAGGACUGUUUUGAGAGAGGUGAGCGCGCUGCUAAUAUGAGACUUCAGUCGAGGGAAAACAGCAUAAUUUUUGCUUCAAGGCAAGAAUAUAUAAUCCCCCUUUAAUCUGAAACUUGAAGAGAAAAACAACAACAUUUUGAAAAAGAGAAUGGACAAAGAGGACUGAGAAUAACUGGCAGUGGUGAGAUGCUUUCAUGACAAGGAUAAAUAAUAAGCACUGCUGGAGCUACAAAUCCAUACAAACAGAGCUUAUCAGCCCUGCUGCACAGUGAUAUGGCCAGACCAGCAGCUUCUCUGUUCAGACUUCUCCUCCCAGUGCCGUUGCCCAGUGCUGGCCAGGACAUGUAGAAAGAUUACUUUUGUUUAGAGCCUGGAUGGUCUGGAAGCAGAAUGAAGUUACGGUAAUGGCAGUGGGUGAGUUUUGGACACUGAAAUAAAAGAAUGACCAAUCCAGAU